rnacentral:lncRNA from 1 species
UCUCCCCAGUACCUGAGAGAAAAGAGAUGCUACUUCUCUGCAGAAAGAGAUGUUCUUGCAAGAGGGGGGGGGAGAGGGAGUGAGAAAGAGAUCCCGCACACAUACACCCAAUGGGUGCCUCCUUGUGUCAGUUAUGUGUGUGUGUGUGUAUGCGUAUGUGCACUUGGCUCCUGAGGAUCUUGAGGUGAGGGAGGUUGCUUGGCAGUGCCUCUCAUGCUUGUCGUGUCAGUUAUGAAUGUGUGUGUGUGGCCACGUGUUGCUUGGCUCCUCACAACACAACAGAUGCUUGUUUUUCCCCCCUCGGGCAGGAGGGGGGCAGGGCCAGGGCAGUCAUUUUUGCACACGGGCUGUAGCAUCUUUUACCUUUUUUGGGUUUUUAAGUCCUUUCUGCUUUUUUGUGUUUUUGUGAGGGAUGGUCACUUGUUGGAUUGAUAGGUGUAUUGUGUCUAAAUUUCUUAUCAAUUCAUCCAGAGGUUUUUGAGUUAUGUUUCUACCACAAACGAACAUCUUUAUAUAGAGAGAUUUACUAGGAGGAGGAGGCAGCAGCACAAGGCGAUAAGCAGAAUUCUGGGAAAUGAAGUUUGGGAAGGUGAGGACUCCUGUAACAGAGAAUUCAAAAGGCUGUGCCCUAAACUACAUUUUUCAGAAUUCUGCUCACUUCCCGCAUUAAAGCCUCAAUGUGAGUGUGAUCUCUGCCUCUUUCUCUGGGCCAGCCAUGUGCGGAGGGGUUUCUUCCUUGUCUGGCCAGACAGCCAGGCAUCCCUCUCCCCCUUGCUGCCUCCUUUGGGGGAAAAAGCAGAACUACUUCCUUCACUCCAGCCUCAUCUUCCUCCUCAGGGCCCUUUAGAGGGAACCAAACCCAUCCCUUUUGGGGGAGAAAGAUCUCGAGCCAUUUACAAGACUUACACAACUCAUCUGAAAAUCAUAGAGAACCCUGAUGCUGCAAAAGAUGACAAACCUCAGGAUUACAUAGGAUGGAACUAUGACAGUUAAAGUGGUGCCAAAGUGCUAGAAUUCUGCAGCAUGAAUGAGAAUCCUCUAUCUGAUUCUCCCCCCCCCCUUUUUUUCUGUAUAUGUUUGAGUAAGCAACUACAUUGAUUAUACAGGUUUGAUCAACUUAAGUCCUUGUGCAUGGUCUUUUGCAGUGAAAUCAAUACAAGAAAUGCCUUUAAAGGCAUUUAAAAGUUUUUAGUUGGAUGGCAACAUAUGGCAACAUAUGGCAUAUGAACUUCCUUUGUAUGGGGAAAGUAUUAUUUUUAAGAAACCUGAUUGCAGCCUGGAAAUUUAUUUUUGAUCUAUAGCACUGCAAAGCUCUGCAUAUUGAAGAUUAAAUUAACCAUUAAAUUAACACAGGCAGAAGCAAUAUCAUUUUUAUUUGAGAUGGUUACAUCAAAAUUCUUCACUUUUUUCCCAAAAGUUCCCUUUGUGCCUCUAUUGCAGUUGUAGUUCAGCCAAAUUAUUCUAUAAUUCAAAGGCCUUUGCUACCUCCUGUUAAAUAAUUCUUCAAAUUUCAUGUUAAACGAGGAUCUGCCAGGAAAGAAAAAAAAAACCAGAUGAAUAAAAAAUAGAUUCUUGGCUGCUUCAAAUCAGACCAAUUUUAUAUUUGUAACAGAUCUCCCCACUCCAAAACAAAGUACAUUUCUCUUCAUAUCAAUAAAGCUGAGCAGAGAAUAUUUGUAUUUCUUAGUAAAGCUUUCAAUUACCACUUCCCAUCUGUCACAGGAUGCAUUUGAGUUCAGCUAUGGGCUCUGAAUGAUAUAAUUUUCGAGUUUAGAUAUUACAUUGGAAGUAUUCUAGUUUCCCUGGCUAGGGAAGGUACAGGACUGAGGUGGAUAAGACUUCAAACCCAUCCUCAACAGCACUUACAUAGUAGGUGGGGAAGGCUAUUUCAUUAGGUAGAGGAGGAGUGGGUCUUGCAUUUACAAACUUGCCUCCAAGCUAAACAUGUAAUGCAAACAAUGACGAAACAUAGCAAACAUCAUGGAACAUGGAAACCAUGGCUGAUAUGUCUGAGAGUUCAUAAUCAUAUGAACAAACCACGUUUCUCUCUGCAACAGAAAAAGGUUGCUUUUUUGGACUACAAUAAUCCUCCAAUGGCUAGGCUGGUUGGUGAAUUCUGGAAGUUGUAGUCCAAAAGCAAUUUUUCCAGGCACUGUUGCAUAGUGGGACCAAGUUUCUUGCCCUCUUCAUAACAUCCUUGUUAUUCAUUCCACACUGUAGGUCUGAACUGGGAGUAAUAUAAGUUUCUAAAUCAUUGGG